GAAAAAGGUGAAGGAAUCCCUCACUUCAAAUGAGAUUGGGGAGAUGUGUAAAAUGUUGGGAACAAUGCAAAAUUUUGUAUAAAAGCACUGCCAAAACAGCUGUAGCAGUGUGAGUGAUGAAUCUCUUUAACAACAAUGCAAUGUGCAAUGUCAUAUUUCCACAAAAUCCUCAAAAAGAGGCAAAAGUGUCAUUGGAAACGUUCCUUAUUAAAGUUGCAUGAAAAGAAAAAGAUUCCAUUGAGCCAGUAGACAGCAGUGAUUCCGUUAGUGACAGUGAAAGUCACCCUGCACGGUAACCCUCCUCUCUCUUAUCUCCCUCACACCAGCCAGGAAGAUUUUCAAAGGUAUCCUCGGGAAGCCUGAAAAGAGAGUCCCGACCAAAAAGAAAAAGAGGGUGAUGCAGGCCCUGAAAGGACAUGCUACCCAGUUGGGCUGGAGAUGUAACCUGGCAGAAUGUGGAAGUUGGUCCUUGAAGACUAUAAGAGUCUGCCUUGAACUGCAUGAGCUGAGCUUUUAAGAUCUGGAACAAGAGUCUGCACCUGAAGUAGCAAAUUUGAUGAACUACACAUCCGUCCUUUCUGACAUUCCUUCAAUUCCUCCUGCGUCUCCAGGCUGACAGUGGAAGAUGUACAGACUUCAACUUUAGAUGGGAGAACAGAGAUUAUAUCAUUUUUAUAUAAUGAUUCAGAGAGCUGUUUGCUUCAGAGCAAGAAUAUUCAAAAAAGAUAUCAAGCGUUUCCAUUCUCAGUUUUUUUUCUCAAAUAUUAAAAUAAAGAGCCCUAAAAUAUCCAGAAUGAAUUUUUAAAGUUUAGAGCUCUGAAAAUUGUGAGUUAAAAAACACACUAGCAGUCAAUGUGCCACAGCUCCCAGCAUAGAAGAGGCUUCUGGAUUGGUGUACCACAGCUCCCAGUGCAGAGGAGACUUCCAGGUCAAUGUGCUACAGCUCCCAGUGCAGAGUAGGAGGCUUCUGGGCCAACCUACCACUGCUCCCAGGACAGAGGAGGAUUGUGGGUGAUCAUCUUCCAACAGCAAGAGGUUAUGGAGGAGAUCGCAUCUGCAGAAGAGGAGGAGAAAAAGGUGGAGGAAUCUCUCACUUCAAAUGAGAUUACAGAGAUAUGUAAAAUGUGGGAAAGGGUGCAAAAUUUUGUAGAAAAGCAGCAUCUGAAUACAGCUGUAGCAGUGUGGGUGAUGAAUCUGUUUACUGACAGUGCAAUGUCACAUUUCCAUGAAAUUAUCAAAAGGAGGCAAAAGUGUUAUUGGAAAAGCUCCUUGUUAAAGUUGAAUGAAAACAAAUGAUUCUACUGAGCCAACAGACAGCAGUGAUUCUGUUAGUGAUAGUGAAAGUCAUCUUGCACAAUAACCUUCCUCUCUCUUAUCUCCUUCAUAC
ensembl:lncRNA